rnacentral:rRNA from 1 species
AGAGUUUGAUCAUGGCUCAGAUUGAACGCUGGCGGCAGGCUUAACACAUGCAAGUCGAACGGUAACAGGGAGAAGCUUGCUUCUUCGCUGACGAGUGGCGGACGGGUGAGUAAUGCUUGGGAAUCUGGCUUAUGGAGGGGGAUAACUACGGGAAACUGUAGCUAAUACCGCGUAAUAUCUUUGGAUUAAAGGGUGGGACUUUCGGGCCACCUGCCAUAAGAUGAGCCCAAGUGGGAUUAGGUAGUUGGUGGGGUAAAGGCCUACCAAGCCGACGAUCUCUAGCUGGUCUGAGAGGAUGACCAGCCACACUGGAACUGAGACACGGUCCAGACUCCUACGGGAGGCAGCAGUGGGGAAUAUUGCACAAUGGGGGGAACCCUGAUGCAGCCAUGCCGCGUGAAUGAAGAAGGCCUUCGGGUUGUAAAGUUCUUUCGGUGAUGAGGAAGGUGUUUGUUUUAAUAGAACAAGCAAUUGACGUUAGUCACAGAAGAAGCACCGGCUAACUCCGUGCCAGCAGCCGCGGUAAUACGGAGGGUGCGAGCGUUAAUCGGAAUGACUGGGCGUAAAGGGCACGCAGGCGGUGACUUAAGUGAGAUGUGAAAGCCCCGGGCUUAACCUGGGAAUUGCAUUUCAUACUGGGUCGCUAGAGUAUUUUAGGGAGGGGUAGAAUUCCACGUGUAGCGGUGAAAUGCGUAGAGAUGUGGAGGAAUACCGAAGGCGAAGGCAGCCCCUUGGGAAUAUACUGACGCUCAUGUGCGAAAGCGUGGGGAGCAAACAGGAUUAGAUACCCUGGUAGUCCACGCUGUAAACGCUGUCGAUUUGGGGAUUGGGCUUAGAGCUUGGUGCCCGUAGCU